GUUCCAUUUUACCACUGUGAUUACGCGGUGUAUCCACCGUGUAUACACAGUGGUCAAGCCACCGAGGAAUCAUGGUAGAUCCACGGUGUUUACACUUCCACGGUGUUUCCACCGUGAUUCAAAUCUGCGAGGGAAUAAUUACAUGGAUUCUCUGAAAAAAUCAAUUAAUAAAACAAUAAAAUUUACUCUUGAUUUUAUUGAAUCAAAAUUUUCUGCUCACAUUUAUGAACAGCGAGCUCUGUUACUUAAAUCGUUAAAUUUCUAUACGUUAUUUAUUGAAAAAGAAACUAGUAUUUGUACUUAUAAAAUUAAUGUAUGUGAAGAUGCUGCUAUCACAUGGAAAAUAUGUUUAAAUAAUGAACCUAGUGUCUAUAAUACAUAUUUUUGUAAUUCUUGUGACCAGUGUACAUUUAUGACUUCAGUACUAAAAGUUGACCCUAAAAUCAUUAUUAAUCAUGGGUUUAAAGCGUUAAACAGAGCUGUGGUUUUUUGUAAAACUCUAAAAAAAGUAAAAUGUCGCAAGGAGAACUGCUUUAAGUUAUGCACUGUCACUGCAUACCCUAAUUUUCACAUAUUUAUUGCACUGGAUGUUAUAGAUAAAAAUAAUAAAUGUAUAGAAUGUUGUUUAGAAGAUUUACCGAUAACGUUAAAUUUGGAUAUGGUAGAUAAAUACAGAUUAGCUGGAAUUAUUGGAAGUUAUCAUAAUUACAAAGUUGCCUACUGCUUAAGAUCAGAUAAUAAUUGGGAAUUAUAUGAUGGUUAUUCUCGUUCUAUUGAAGUAGUUGAUGAAUCAACCACAAUCCAACCUUUGGGUGCAAUAUAUAUUUUAGAAUAAAAAUACAGAUUAAUUCCAAUUAAAAUCAGUCGGAUCCCAAUCGGUUUUCAAUCGGAAUUCCAAACCAGGGAUUCUAUAGACUGUUCCAAUAAAAAUUUCCUAUAUUCCACUAUAUGUUAAUCAUUAAUUAUUUUUUGUCCAUGUCAUUGGAAACAACACUAAAAAAAUGUGAUAAAAAUACCUUUACUUUCACCAGAACCCAAGUAUCUUAAACAUAUUUCCUAAAGACUUCGUAUAAAUACUGGAUGUCAGUUUAGAUGAUUUUUCAAUUCAAAGGCUAACAUUAAAAUGUAAAUGAUUAAACAGUUCUAGAUAUAUGACUGACCUGAAAAAAAAAAUUAUUUUAUAAAAUUCCAUAAAAUUUUAUUGCAUCUAAUUUCUUGAAUUUUAAUCUAGUAUUAUAUAGAUGAUAAUUUUGCGGAAUUCCAUGAAGUUUUAUAAACUUGUAUAAAAUUCUGUAAAUUUUAUUCGUAUGUCGAUUUAAGCUAUCUAUUAUCAC